UCACUCUGGCAAUGCACACACUAAAACUGGAAUGUUUCAGGGAAGAUUAGCAUGGGCCCUGCUCGAGGAGGAUAUAUAAAUUCAUGAAGCAUUCCACAUUUAA